GAGUUUGAUCUUGGCUCAGAUUGAACGCUGGCGGCAUGCCUUACACAUGCAAGUCGAACGGCAGCACGGGAGCUUGCUCCUGGUGGCGAGUGGCGAACGGGUGAGUAAUGCAUCGGAACGUAUCCUGGAGUGGGGGAUAACGUAGCGAAAGUUACGCUAAUACCGCAUAUUCUGUGAGCAGGAAAGCGGGGGACCUUCGGGCCUCGCGCUCUUGGAGCGGCCGAUGUCGGAUUAGCUAGUUGGUGAGGUAAAGGCUCACCAAGGCGACGAUCCGUAGCAGGUCUGAGAGGAUGAUCUGCCACACUGGAACUGAGACACGGUCCAGACUCCUACGGGAGGCAGCAGUGGGAAUUUUGGACAAUGGGGGCAACCCUGAUCCAGCCAUGCCGCGUGAAUGAAGAAGGCC
rnacentral:rRNA from 1 species